CUAGAAAGGAAGAGCAGUAGGUUUCCAUAGAAACUGGUUCUAGGAGGAUGUAUAUGGCUGGCGCUCUCUCUGCCAGGGUUCUACCCUCAUCUGGAAAGAAUGAAGGCAGCAAAGCGCUAUGGUUGUCUAAUGCAAACCAUUCGUGUAGAAGGAAAACGGGACGUGAUUCACAUGGACUUUCCAGCUUCUUUUUUAAGAGGCCUGCUGUCAAUAAAGUGAAGGCAUUUUGCAGAAAAGGGACGUUUCUGGUCAGGCUGGAUUCAUUCUCCCUCAACCACCUCUGACUUCCUUGGGAAGCAGGGUCUGAUCCAUUCUUGGUUCCCUGCAGAUGAGCUAUGUAUGUGUAUAAAAGGUCAGGAGUUUUAGAAAUUCCAAGUGUGUGAGUUUGACAUCAUCUUGAUUUCUUACAAGCCAUGGGCCAAGAUGCAAUAAUGUAUUUCAUACACCAAAGAACACAAACAUUUAACAGUUAUCAUAUUUUAGUGGAGUGUAAGCUCCUUGAGGGCAGACAUGUUUAUGAUUAGUUUGACCUCCCAGACCUAGCACAGCCCCCCAGGAGGCAGAUGCAGAGUUUUAUCUCAACACCCCUUCCAGCCUCUCAUCCCUCCAUGUAUCCUCUGCCUCAACCAUCCUUGGACUGCCACUCUUCUGCCACAGGACCUUUGCACAUACCUUCCUUAAGCCUGGCGUGUCCUCCCUCCCUCACUUACCUAGUUAACCUCUAUAACUUCUGAGCUCUCAGCUCAGACAUCACAUCUUCAGAGAAGUCAGCCUCCCUAAUUAGGCCAGUUUCUGCAAGACAGAUUCUCAUUCCAGGCUGUAACCUUCCUUGUUGAAUCUGCCACGGUUGUCAUUUUGUGCUUUUUCACGUGCCUCUUUGAUGACUGUCUGUCUCCCUCUCCACUUUGCCAAG
rnacentral:lncRNA from 1 species